UAACAAUGAUUUCCCUAGUAACGGCGAGUGAAGAGGAAAGAGCUCAAAGUUGGAAACUGUUUGGCUUAGCUAAACCGUAUUGUAAACUGUAGAAACAUUUUCCUGGCACGCCGGAUUAAUAAGUCCUUUGGAACAAGGCAUCAUGGAGGGUGAGAAUCCCGUCUUUGAUCCGAGUAGUUGUCUUUUGUGAUAUGUUUUCAAAGAGUCAGGUUGUUUGGGAAUGCAGCCUAAAUUGGGUGGUAAAUCUCACCUAAAGCUAAAUAUUUGCGAGAGACCGAUAGCGAACAAGUACCGUGAGGGAAAGAUGAAAAGAACUUUGAAAAGAGAGUUAAACAGUAUGUGAAAUUGUUAAAAGGGAACCGUUUGGAGCCAGACUGGUUUGACUGUAAUCAACCUAGAAUUCGUUCUGGGUGCACUUGCAGUCUAUACCUGCCAACAACAGUUUGAUUUGGAGGAAAAAAUUAGUAGGAAUGUAGCCUCUCGAGGUGUUAUAGCCUACUAUCAUACUCUGGAUUGGACUGAGGAACGCAGCGAAUGCCUUUAGGCGAGAUUGCUGGGUGCUUUCGCUAAUAAAUGUUAGAAUUUCUGCUUCGGGUGGUGCUAAUGUUUAAAGGAGGAACACAUCUAGUAUAUUUUUUAUUCGCUUAGGUUGUUGGCUUAAUGACUCUAAAUGACCCGUCUUGAAACACGGACCAA
rnacentral:rRNA from 2 species